GAUGAACGCUGGCGGCGUGCCUAAUACAUGCCAGUCGAGCGAACAGACGAGGAGCUUGCUCCUCUGACGUUAGCGGCGGACGGGUGAGUAACACGUGGAUAACCUACCUAUAAGACUGGGAUAACUUCGGGAAACCGGAGCUACUACCGGAUAAUAUAUUGAACCGCAUGGUUCAAUAGUGAAAGACGGUUUUGCUGUCACUUAUAGAUGGAUCCGCGCCUCAUUAGCUAGUUGGUAAGGUAACGGCUUACCAAGGCAACGAUGCGUAGCCGACCUGAGAGGGUGAACGGCCACACUGGAACUGAGACACGGGCCAGACUCCUACGGGAGGCAGCAGUAGGGAAACUUCCGCAAUGGGCGAAAGCCUGGCGGAGCAACGCCGGGUGAGUGAUGAAGGUCUUCGGAGCGUAAAACUCUGUUAUGAGGGAAGAACAAAUGUGUAAGUAACUAUGCACGUCUUGACGGUACCUAAUCAGAAAGCCACGGCUAACUACGUG
rnacentral:rRNA from 1 species